AGACAUGAGGUCACUCUGGCUGUGACAUGUGUCACCCCAUUGGCUAGGGUUGAUUUGGCUGAUCUGGCUGGCCAGGCGGGUCUGUCCCCUUCCUACCACCACUCCAUGCAUGUCCUUCCCACAGCUGUGCACUCACUUGGUGGAAGAGGACGACCACGCCCAGAGAGGAGGACUGUUUCCUCGGUCAAGUGUAUGUGAGUAGCUGUGCUCCCCUACUAGAACUUCUAAACCAGCUCUCAAAGUAAAAUUUACUUAUUUUGAUACCAGGAAUCAAACUCAGGACCUUGUGCUUGCCAGGCAAGCACUGUGC
ensembl:misc_RNA 7SK 7SK RNA